GCGUUGUUCGGAAUUACUGGGCGUAAAGGGCGUGUAGGCGGUUGGAUAAGUCAGCUGUGAAAACCACGGGCUUAACUCGUGGCCUGCAGUUGAGACUGUCUGGCUUGAGUGUGGGAGAGGAGAGUGGAAUUCCUGGUGUAGCGGUGAAAUGCGUAGAUAUCGGGAGGAACACCAGUGGCGAAGGCGGCGAUCUGGGAAGAUACUGACGCUGAGGUGCGAAAGCGUGGGGAGCAAACAGG
rnacentral:rRNA from 1 species